AUUGAACGCUGGCGGCAGGCCUAACACAUGCAAGUCGAGCGAGCGGCGGACGGGUGAGUAAUGUAUGGGGACCUGCCUGAUAGAGGGGGCUAACUACUGGAAACGGUGGCUACUACCGCAUACUAUCGGUUGAACCCAUAUGGGAUUAGCUAGUAGGUGGGGUAAAGGCUCACCUAGGCGACGAUGACUAGCUGGUCUGAGAGGAUGACCGGCCACACUGGGACUGAGACACGGUCCAGACUCCUACGGGAGGCAGCAGUGGGGAAUAUUGGGCAAUGGGCGCAAGCCUGAUGCAGCCAUGCCGCGUGUGUGAAGAAGGUCUUCGGGUUGUAAAGUACUGUCAGCAGGGAAGCGUUACUCGAAGAAGAAGCACCGGCUAACUCCGUGCCAGCAGCCGCGGUAAUAC
rnacentral:rRNA from 1 species